rnacentral:rRNA from 1 species
UACGUAGGGCGCAAGCGUUGUCCGGAAUUAUUGGGCGUAAAGAGCUCGUAGGCGGCCUGUUACGUCUGCUGUGAAAUCCCGGGGCUUAACCCCGGGCGUGCAGUGGAUACGGGCAGGCUGGAGGCAGGCAGGGGAGAACGGAAUUCCCGGUGUAGCGGUGAAAUGCGCAGAUAUCGGGAGGAACACCGGUGGCGAAGGCGGUUCUCUGGGCCUGUACUGACGCUGAGGAGCGAAAGCGUGGGGAGCGAACAGG